GACGAACGCUGGCGGCGUGCCUAAUACAUGCAAGUAGAACGCUGAAGAGAGGAGCUUGCUCUUCUUGGAUGAGUUGCGAACGGGUGAGUAACGCGUAGGUAACCUGCCUUGUAGCGGGGGAUAACUAUUGGAAACGAUAGCUAAUACCGCAUAACAAUGGAUGACACAUGUCAUUUAUUUGAAAGGGGCAAUUGCUCCACUACAAGAUGGACCUGCGUUGUAUUAGCUAGUAGGUGAGGUAAUGGCUCACCUAGGCGACGAUACAUAGCCGACCUGAGAGGGUGGUCAGCCACACUGGGACUGAGACACGGCCCAGACUCCUACGGGAAGCAGCAGUAGGGAAUCUUCGGCAAUGGGGGCAACCCUGACCGAGCAACGCCGCGUGAGUGAAGAAGGUUUUCGGAUCGUAAAGCUCUGUUGUAAGUCAAGAACGGGUGUGAGAGUGGAAAGUUCACACUGUGACGGUAGCUUACCAGAAAGGGACGGCUAACUACGUG
rnacentral:rRNA from 1 species